CCACCCCACAAAAUAAUGAAGAAAAGGAGAAGGGCAGAGUGAGAGAGAGUGCGCGGAAGAUGAGUUUAUCAAAAACUCUACAUAUCAGGGAUCAUUUGUGAAAAUAUUUACAAAUAUGAGCAAGUGGACUUGAAAGGGUUAUAUAAUUACAAUUAAUAAUUUAAAACUGCAAUAGAGAUAUAAACCUUUGAGAGUGAUCAAAAACCUUAAAGUUCAGGAGGAAAAGUUCGAGAGAGAAGAGAAACCUAAAGCUUGCGUGAAGAACUACUAUCAAAUGGAGACGAGGAUAGAUACAAUAUGGAAAGGCCUGCAAAUAUAAUCGAUAGUCUUCGCACAAUGUGAGAUGCAAAUCUCUGGAAAAAUUUAGCAGAAUUGAAGUUUUGACAAAAUAUUGACCUCUCGAAUCGUAAAUGUUGAGAAAAUUGUGAACUAGUGAAAUAUUCGGAAAUUAACUCGCCACAAUUUUAGGUUUUUCUUCUCAUCACCAUUGGUACUUAAUUAAGAUCUAGAAAGUGAAAAUAAUUUAUCAUUCAAAGUGAAUACCACCCUUACGUAAUUGUAUAUACAUUUCUAUUUGCUCGUUUGUAUUUUUUUGUUGAUAUAUAUGUAUUUAUAUGUAUACAGUGUCUAUUUCUAUCCAUGCAUGUUAUAUAUCAUACCCAUAUAUUAGAAAACUUUAAAGUGUGAAAUAUGUAAAUUGGUCAUUAACAAUUCUGCAAAAAUCAAGCACUCUGUAUGUCUAUAUGUAUAUAUAUAGUCUAUACAUGUAAAGUAUUAUAGUGUAUAAUAGAAAAAAUUUUAGAUGUGAAAUACGUAAUUUGGUCAUCAAAAAUUCUGCACCUGCAAGCCUUUGCAUAUUAUUCUGGUAUGUGCAUUUAUAUUUGUUUUUGUGUAUCUGCAUUGAUAAUGUUUAGACAUGUAUUUAAAUCAUGUGUGUAUAAUAGAAAACCUUUAGAUGGGAAAUAUGUAUAAAUUAGCCAUUAAUAAUUUUACAUAUAUUUAGUAGCUUUUUGCCAACAAAGCGUAUGUGUAGUAUCUUGUUAUAUACUCUUUUGUGCGACCACGGGCUAUUAGAUUAUGGAGACAAUAUAAAAGCGAGCUUGGAAUUUCAAAUAGACAUAUCUGGAAACCAUUUAUCUAUUUCCACUCCAUCCUCUAGCAUGCCAUGCCUGCAAGAGGAGGAUGAGGACUUUGAACCAUGCUGUUUGAUAAAUUUUCUCAAUAAUGAGGUAAAAACUUAUAAUUGUAGUUUUCUUAGUUUGCAAACAUGAGUAUUUUGAAGACAAAAAUCUAAAUUAACAUAUUUGUUUCUAUACUAUCUGCUUAAGCUGCAUAUGGUUAUCUUUAUUCUUGUUUGCCUUGAAAUUGAAAUACGUGUGCAUUUACUACAAACGUUAUGGAAGUAUAAUUGUGUUGGUUGGAUGUUCAUUAGGUGCUUGAGCCAUCAUCUAAGCUACCAAAUACCAAUUAUCAAGAGAUUAAGACUUUCGGUUAUGGUGUUUUUGGACUGAGUUGUUUAGAUUGAAAUUGGUUGUUGUGUUCGAUACGAGUUUGAUGCAUAACCUGAAAAGUAAUGAAGCUUAAGUUCACGUGAACUAUUGGUGCUUUUUGAUCUAAGGAAAAUGUCUUGUGUGCUAACACUAAUCGAUCACAUUUUGAGAUAGAUGUUGGAUAAAGAUAGACUCUGCUUGUGCAAUUCAACCAUAUGUAAAAGUAAUAAACAUAUUGUGAUUAAGAAAAUUAAGUGGUCAUAGCAGUUUUCCUAGUAUAUAUAUUUAAUAUGAUAGUUUUGAUUCUUGUGUGAACUCUGUAGAAAAAUAAUUAAAAAAUAAUUAUAUGAUUAUUUUUCCUCUACAUAUCAAUAAUAGAAGCAGAAAAUGAUGACCAUAACUUCAUAGUAAUUAUAAACACCAAACCUUGAAAUUAUGAUGACGUUAAGAAUCAAGAUGUCACAAAUAUGGUGUUUGUCGGCAAUCAACUGUAGAAAUAAUGUGAGUGAUAUAAGGGGACUUUGGUAAUUUUAUGUUUUAACUCUAGUUCUCAGUGGUGGUUCUGACUGCAUGUUGUUAACUUCAAUUAAUUAUCUGUCGACAACUUGCUUUUUUUUUUAUUAUUUAAAUUCGGAACAGGACUAUAAUUUUUUUUGCUCAAUGAGUAAUGUUCAAAACUAAUUUUUUUUUUAUUUUCUUUUGACAAAGAAUACUGCAAAACACAGCAUUGAUUUAAAUUUGGUCAGAGGAGUGAAUACCAAUUGAAUAGAACUUAACCAAUAGAGACGAGAGAAGAGAAGGGAGAGAAAAAAAGUGCAGAAGAUAAAAGAUAGAGAAAGAUAAGGGGAGAGACAAAUUUGUCGAUGGGAAAAUUCCUACAUAAUCAAAAUUCAAUUUCAAUUAUAUCUAAUGCAAAAUGAGCUCUCACGUGCACUUUUAUGGAUGUAGCAAAGAAUCAAAUCAAAUUAGUGCUCACGAUGACUACCAUGAGAUGGAAAUGAAAGAGACUUACUUUUACCCAAUUUACAAGUUGAGCAAUCAAAAGAAAUGGAAGAAAUUUUAUUUCCCAACACGCCAGAAUUGAACAAAUGAGAUAAAACAGCAAAGUUAGGAUGACUUAAACGUUUAUGCCAUACUUCACUCUUAUUGUUUCCUUCCAAUGCAAUUUGACACGAGUUACAUCUAAAUUCAAAAGCUCUGAUAGACAAGUUGACUAAGC
rnacentral:lncRNA from 1 species